AAUAAAUCACAAUGCGGAACAAUGUUUUGCAAUUGGAUUGAGAACAACGUACAAACCUUAUCGAUAAACAAUUGGAGGGCAAGUCUGGUGCCAGCAGCCGCGGUAAUUCCAGCUCCAAUAGCGUAUAUUAACGUUGUUGCAGUUAAAAAGCUCGUAGUUGAAAUGAAGGGUAGUUGUGUAAUGAAUACAUUCGUGUAUUUUGUUAUUCUACUACCCUCCUUCUAAAUUCGAUAUAUGAGUAUUAAUUUACUUGUAUAUGGUUUUAGACGUUUACUGUGAGAAAAUUAGAGUGUUCAAAGCAGGCAUUUGCUUGAAUAUAUUAGCAUGGAAUAAUCAUGUAUGAUUUUCAUGAUGUAUUUGAUUGGUUUGGUUCAUGAGAAUAAGAUUAAAAGGGACAGUUGGGGGUAUUCAUAUUCAAUAGUCAGAGGUGAAAUUCUCGGAUUUAUGGAAGAUGAACAA
rnacentral:rRNA from 1 species